CAGCACCUCGAGUGGUCAGGAGGAUUAUUGGGCCUAAAGCAUCCGUAGCCGGCUUUGUAAGUUUUCGGUUAAAUCCAUGCGCUCAACGCAUGGGCUGCCGAAAAUACUGCACAGCUAGGGAGUGGGAGAGGUAGACGGUACUCAGUAGGAAGGGGUAAAAUCCUUUGAUCUGUCGAUGACCACCUGUGGCGAAGGCGGUCUACCAGAACACGUUCGACGGUGAGGGAUGAAAGCUGGGGGAGCAAACCGGAUUAGAUACCCGGGUAGUCCCAGCUGUAAACGAUGCAGACUCGAUGAUGCAUUGGCAUAUAGCCAGUGCAGUGUCGCAGGGAAGCCGUUAAGUCUGCCGCCUGGGAAGUACGUACGCAAGUAUGAAACUUAAAGGAAUUGGCGGGGGAGCACCACAAGGGGUGAAGCCUGCGGUUCAAUUGGAGUCAACGCCAGAAAUCUUACCCGGAGAGACAGCAGAAUGAAGGUCAAGCUGAAGACUUUACCAGACAAGCUGAGAGGUGGUGCAUGGCCGUCGCCAGCUCGUGCCGUGAGAUGUCCUGUUAAGUCAGGUAACGAGCGAGAUCCUCGCCACUAGUUGCUAUCAUUAUUCUCAGGAAUAGUGGGGCGAAUUAGUGGGACUGCCGUUGUUAAAACGGAGGAAGGAGGGGGCUACGGCAGGUCAGUAUGCCCCGAAACUCUGGGGCCACACGCGGGCUGCAAUGGUAGCGACAAUGAGCUCCAAACUCGAAAGAGAGUGGCAAUCUCUAAACGCUACCACAGUUAUGACUGAGGGCUGUAACUCGCCCUCACGAAUAUGGAAUCCCUAGUAACCGCGUGUCAUUACCGCGCGGUGAAUACGUCCCUGCUCCUUGCCCACACCGCCC
rnacentral:rRNA from 1 species